AUGCUAAAAAUUGAUCUAGCAAAGGCUUUUGAUAGAAUAGAGUGGUACUUCAUUCUUUCGGCUCUCACUCAUAAAGGUCUUCAUGAUCAUUUCAUAGAACUUGUGCACACAUGCAUUUCUUCACCGACUUUCUCUAUCAUUAUCGACGGUCAAUCUUUUGCGAGUUUCAAAAGCAAUAGAGGAAUAAAACAGGGUUGUCCUUUGUCGCCAUAUCUUUUUGUCCUUGUAGUCAAUGAACUAUCUUUGAUGCUUCGGGAUUCUCUUCAAGUCAACAACCUCACAAGUAUUUUCCUUGGACCAAACUGUCCUCCAAUUCACUCCUUGAUGUUUGCAGACGACUUGAUUCUUUGUGGAAAAGUGAAUGUGCAGGAAUCUAGAACUAUUUUCAAUCUUAAACCAUUUCUAUCAGGAAUUUGGGCCAACUCUAAACUGGAGCAAAUCUGGAAUUUUACUUAG
rnacentral:rRNA from 1 species